GCAUGCUGUGAUAUCCAAAGCGUUUUCCUUCCUGAAAUCCUCACGUCGGCGCUUGCGAUUACGAGCCCAAUCGGCUAAGCUACUGCAGCCGCCGUCGGAACUAGAACCACCGGCAAUUGAAUCUCCAAGGAUCUCGAUCCGUAGAAUACGAUCGGAGAAGUUGACGUCGUCGAAGGCAAAGGCGAAAUCGGGUUCCCCGGUAUGAGUAGGGGAGUAUUCCGGGUCCAUGACCGCCGUUCUCGGGUCGAAUAGGUCCAAAUUCUGAUCCUUCAUAUCCUUUCUACGAAAACCCUAAAAGCUUUGUUUGGUUUUUGGGAGAAUUCAGAGUUAUGGCGUUUGGAGAUAAGACAUAUGGAUUCGAGUCG
rnacentral:misc_RNA from 1 species